AUAAGCGACUCAGGGCACGAGAUGGAUGCCUUGGGACAUGCCGGCGAUGAAGGACGUAGAAGGCCACGAAAGAUUACGGGGAGCUGCCAAACGAGCGUUGAUCCGUGAGUGUCCGAAUGGGGAAACCCCAUGGAAGUAAUGUUCCAUGAUCAUGAUCUGAGUGAAGUAGGGUCAUGAGGCAGACGGAGUGAAUUGAAACAUCUCAGUAACUCCAGGAAAAGAAAUCAAGCAAGAGAUACCCUUAGUAGCGGCGAGCGAAACGGGUAUAGCCUAAACCUUUAGACGCAAGUUUAAAGGGGUUGCGGGACUUCAACGUGAGACUUUUAUCAGUAACAGAACGCUCUGGGAAGGGCGGCCAAAGAGGGUGAUAGCCCCGUAAGUGAAAUUGAUAAAAGCUCUAGAAGUUUCCCAAGUACCACGGGGCUCGAGUACCCCUGUGGGAAUCUGGGUGGACCAUCAUCCAAGGCUAAAUACGAGCAUGUCACCGAUAGCGUAUAGUACCGUGAGGGAAAGGUGAAAAGAACCCCGUUGAGGGGAGUGAAAUAGAAUCUGAAAUCCCGUGCCUACAAGCGGUGGGAGGGCUAUGCCCCGUAAGGGGAAUGCCUGACCGCGUACCUUUUGCAUAAUGAGCCAGCGAGUUAGUGUCGGUAGCAAGGUUAACCCGUCAAUAGGGGGAGCCGUAGCGAAAGCGAGUCUGAAUAGGGCGAAUGAGUUGUCGGCACUAGACCCGAAACGCGAUGAGCUAGAUAUGACCAGGUUGAAGCGUCCGUAACAGGGCGUGGAGGACCGAACCGGUGCCCGUUGAAAAGGUCUCGGAUGAGUUGUAUUUAGGGGUGAAAGGCCAACCAAAUUGCGUGAUAGCUGGUUCUCCCCGAAAGCUAUUUAGGUAGCGUCUUUUGGAGCAUCACAGGGGGUAGAGCACUGACUGGGCUAGGGGCCUUACCGGGUUACCAACCCCUAUCAAACUCCGAAUACCUGUGAAUGUAACGCCAGAGGAGGCAGACGGCGGGAGAUAAGUUUCGUCGUCAAAAGGGAAAGAACCCAGAUCGCCAGCUAAGGUCCCAAAUUUUACACUGAGUGGGAAAGGAUGUGACAUUCCCCAGACAACCAGGAGGUUAGCUUAGAAGCAGCUAUCCUUUAAAGAAAGCGUAAUAGCUCACUGGUCGAGGGAUGUUGCGCCGAAAACGUAACGGGGCUGAAGUGUAGAACCGAAGCUGCGAAUGCUGUUUCUCUGCGGAGAGAUGGCGUGGUAGGGGAGCAUUGUCUAAGCCGGUGAAGGCGGAGCGUAAGCACCGUUGGAGGUAUGACAAGAGCUGCUGCUGGUAUGAGUAGCGAUAAACUAGGUGAGAAUCCUAGUCGCCGUAAGCCCAAGGGUUCCUGCACACGGCUCGUCCGGGCAGGGUUAGUCGAGACCUAAGUCGAGGCCGAAAGGCGUAGAUGAUGGAAAUGGGGUGAAUAUUCCCCAACUUAAUAUAAUGCGUUAUCAACUAAGUCAGGACUGCGGAAGAAGUUAUGGGCCAGCGAUCGGUAGUGCUGGUGUAACUGUGUAGGGGUGUAUGGUAGGCAAAUCCGCCGUACAGUUAUCUCCGAGACAGGAGUCCGUGGGGAGUAAGAUCCCCUGAAGUUGUAACUUCUCAACGUACAAGAAAAGUGGCGUAGUGAGCAUUAUGUUAACUCGUACCGGAAACCGACACAGGUGGGCGAGGAGAGUAUCCUCAGGCGCGUGAGAGAACUCCAGUUAAGGAACUCUGCAAAAUACUACUGUAACUUCGGGAGAAGGUAGCCCGAUUGUAGGUGAUGAGACCUCGCGUCUCAAAGCUGAAAUCGGGGGCAGAAACUAGGGGGUAUCGACUGUUUAACAAAAACACAGGCCUCUGCAAACUCAUUCGAGGAUGUAUAGGGGCUGACGCCUGCCCGGUGCUGGAAGGUCAUGGGGAGAGGUCAUGGGAGUAAUCCCAGAAGCUUCGAACUUAAGCCCCAGUAAACGGCGGCCGUAACUAUAACGGUCCUAAGGUAGCGAAAUUCCUUGUCGGGUAAGUUCCGACCUGCACGAAUGGCGUAACGAAUUCCCCACUGUCUCGACUGGAGACUCAGCGAAAUUGGAGUCGCGGUGCAGAUACCGUGUUCCUGCGGCAAGACGGAAAGACCCCGUGAACCUUUACUGUACCCUGGCAUAGAACAUCUGGGGACCAUGUGUAGGAUAGGUGGGAGCCUUAGAAGCAUUGGCGCUAGCCAGUGUGGAGGCAACCUUGAAAUACCACCCUUGGUUCUUGGCUGUUCUCACCGUAGGUCGUAUAACCGGCCACGGGACGAUGUCAGGCGGGCAGUUUGACUGGGGCGGUCGCCUCCCAAAGAGUAACGGAGGCGCGCGAAGGUACCCUCAGGCUGAGUGGAAACCAGCCGUAGAGUGCAAGAGCAUAAGGGUGCUUAACUGCAAGACGGACAUGUCGCGCAGAUGCGAAAGCAGGUUCUAGUGAUCCGGUGGUUCUGUAUGGAAGGGCCAUCGCUCAACGGAUAAAAGGUACUCCGGGGAUAACAGGCUUAUCUCCCCCAAGAGUUCACAUCGACGGGGAGGUUUGGCACCUCGAUGUCGGCNNGAACGUCGUGAGACAGUUCGGUCCCUAUCUGCCGUAGGUGUUGGAGAAGUGAGAAGCGCUGUCCUUAGUACGAGAGGACCGGGAUGGACGGACCGCUAGUGUGCCAGUUGUAACGCCAGUUGCAGUCGCUGGGUAGCUAUGUCCGGACGAGAUAACCGCUGAAAGCAUCUAAGUGGGAAACUCUCUUCAAAACAACUUCUCCCAGGGCUUAAAGCCCUUUAAAGUCCCCCUGAAGACUACAGGGUUGAUAGGACGGAAGUGUACAUGCAGUAAUGCAUUUAGCUGACCGUUACUAAUCGGACGUAUGGCUUAUCUUCUUCUUC
rnacentral:rRNA from 1 species